rnacentral:rRNA from 1 species
GAUAAACGCUGGCGGCGUGCUUAACACAUGCAAGUCGAACGAAGUUUUUCCUUCGGGAGAAACUUAGUGGCGGACGGGUGAGUAACGCGUGGGUAACCUGCCCUGUACAGGGGGACAACAGCUGGAAACGGCUGCUAAUACCGCACAAGCCCUUAGCACUGCAUGGUGCAUAGGGAAAAGGAGCAAUCCGGUACAGGAUGGACCCGCGUCUGAUUAGCCAGUUGGCAGGGUAACGGCCUACCAAAGCGACGAUCAGUAGCCGAUCUGAGAGGAUGUACGGCCACAUUUGGACUGAGACACGGCCCAGACUCCUACGGGAGGCAGCAGUGGGGAAUAUUGCACAAUGGAGGAAACUCUGAUGCAGCGACGCCGCGUGAGUGAAGAAGUAUUUCGGUAUGUAAAGCUCUAUCAGCAGGGAAGAAAAUGACGGUAACUGACUAAGAAGCACCGGCUAAAUACGUG